AAAUGUCAUGAUAUUUGGCUUGUUCCUUUUUUAAUCCUAAACUAAUUUGUUACUCUAUGAUGCUUAUUUGCCAUUCAACCUGUUUAUAAGCUUCUAAUGGCAGGUUUACUGUAGAUUAAGCCCAGUUUCGCUGCAUGAAAGGUUAUGGAAUCACAUGAAAGAUUAUUUACUGGUUAGCUUUGUAUCCCUGCUAGGUCUGAAAAUGAAAAUAUGCCAUUUCCUCGAAAAAUCUGACAGAUUGCAGCGGGGGUGGUGGUUUGGAUCAGUCAAAUGGAACUUGUUGCAGUAGACAUAAGGUGUUUGCUUUUGCUGGCUGGACACUUGCCAAGGUACGAUCUGCUACACUCGACACAUGGCUUCCAGAACAGGUUGCAUUUAUUCAAAGAAA